CAGGAUGAACGCUGGCGGCGUGCCUAAUACAUGCAAGUCGAGCGAACUGAUUAGAAGCUUGCUUCUAUGACGUUAGCGGCGGACGGGUGAGUAACACGUGGGCAACCUGCCUGUAAGACUGGGAUAACUUCGGGAAACCGAAGCUAAUACCGGAUAGGAUCUUCUCCUUCAUGGGAGAUGAUUGAAAGAUGGUUUCGGCUAUCACUUACAGAUGGGCCCGCGGUGCAUUAGCUAGUUGGUGAGGUAACGGCUCACCAAGGCAACGAUGCAUAGCCGACCUGAGAGGGUGAUCGGCCACACUGGGACUGAGACACGGCCCAGACUCCUACGGGAGGCAGCAGUAGGGAAUCUUCCGCAAUGGACGAAAGUCUGACGGAGCAACGCCGCGUGAGUGAUGAAGGCUUUCGGGUCGUAAAACUCUGUUGUUAGGGAAGAACAAGUACAAGAGUAACUGCUUGUACCUUGACGGUACCUAACCAGAAAGCCACGGCUAACUACGUGCCAGCAGCCGCGGUAAUACGUAGGUGGCAAGCGUUAUCCGGAAUUAUUGGGCGUAAAGCGCGCGCAGGCGGUUUCUUAAGUCUGAUGUGAAAGCCCACGGCUCAACCGUGGAGGGUCAUUGGAAACUGGGGAACUUGAGUGCAGAAGAGAAAAGCGGAAUUCCACGUGUAGCGGUG
rnacentral:rRNA from 1 species